rnacentral:rRNA from 1 species
UGAAUUGACGGGACCGCACAAGCGGUGGAUGAUGUGGAUUAAUUCGAUGCAACGCGAAAAACCUUACCUACCCUUGACAUGUCCGGAAUCCUGCAGAGAUGCGGGAGUGCCCGAAAGGGAAUCGGAACACAGGGUGCUGCAUGGCUGUCGUCAGCUCGUGUCGUGAGAUGUUGGGUUAAGUCCCGCAACGAGCGCAACCCUUAUCAUUAGUUGCUACGCAAGGGCACUCUAAUGAGACUGCCGGUGACAAACCGGAGGAAGGUGGGGAUGACGUCAAGUCCUCAUGGCCCUUAUGGGUAGGGCUUCACACGUCAUACAAUGGUCGGUACAGAGGGUUGCCAACCCGCGAGGGGGAGCUAAAUCCCACAAAGCCGAUCGUAGUCCGGAUCGCAGUCUGCAACUCGACUGCGUGAAGUCGGAAUCGCUAGUAAUCGUGGAUCAGCAUGUCACGGUGAAUACGUUCCCGGGUCUU